rnacentral:rRNA from 1 species
UGCUUAACACAUGCAAGUCGAACGAUGAUCCGGUGCUUGCACCGGGGAUUAGUGGCGAACGGGUGAGUAACACGUGAGUAACCUGCCCUUAACUCUGGGAUAAGCCUGGGAAACUGGGUCUAAUACCGGAUAUGACUGAUCAUCGCAUGGUGGUUGGUGGAAAGCUUUUUUGUGGUUUUGGAUGGACUCGCGGCCUAUCAGCUUGUUGGUGAGGUAAUGGCUUACCAAGGCGACGACGGGUAGCCGGCCUGAGAGGGUGACCGGCCACACUGGGACUGAGACACGGCCCAGACUCCUACGGGAGGCAGCAGUGGGGAAUAUUGCACAAUGGGCGCAAGCCUGAUGCAGCGACGCCGCGUGAGGGAUGACGGCCUUCGGGUUGUAAACCUCUUUCAGUAGGGAAGAAGCGAAAGUGACGGUACCUGCAGAAGAAGCGCCGGCUAACUACGUGCCAGCAGCCGCGGUAAUACGUAGGGCGCAAGCGUUAUCCGGAAUUAUUGGGCGUAAAGAGCUCGUAGGCGGUUUGUCGCGUCUGCCGUGAAAGUCCGGGGCUCAACUCCGGAUCUGCGGUGGGUACCGGCAGACUAGAGUGAUGUAGGGGAGACUGGAAUUCCUGGUGUAGCGGUGAAAUGCGCAAAUAUCAGG